GAUGCUGCCUGGCCUGCUGUGUUCCUCCAGCUCCACACUGUUAUCUAUUACUGAAGCAGUAGUUCUGCAUGUCGGAAGGAGUCAGAGACUGAGAAUCCAGGAAUGUGGAUGAAGGCCCAGCGCAGUGGUAUUUUCCACAAGGACAGGCCAGGAGUGAAAGCAAUGCUCAUGAAAAUAGUACCAGUCAAUGAGCAAUGCAGCUGGUCAGCUCUUUGUGGUGGGUGAGGGAGUGAUAGCAGCUGUAGGCUUUGAGCACCCAAGGGCUGGCCGAGAGGGACAUCCUUCCGGUUGGAAAGUAGGUGCAUCGGUCCCUAGACAGUGACAUAGCAUGGAAGAGGGGAUAACUUGGGUGGGAGGGUCUUUGUGUUGGUUGCUUUGCCAAAGCAGCAGGAAGUAUAGGUGGAGACAAUGGAUGGAAAGCUGGUUUGCGUGGUGGUGAGGUUGCUUCUUGAACUCCACAGUCAUGUGAUGAGGGUGCUUCCUAACAAUGCUGUUGGGAAGGAAGUUCCAAGGUUCUGAUAAUGAAGGAAGGAACAAAAGACAAAAUCAGAUGGUGGGUGACUUAGUGACAGACCUCCCAUACACUGGUCACUCUCAUCCUUCUAGAUGAUGGUCACGUUUUCAAGGUGCUGCCAGGAUUUUGUCACAGGGCCAUAGAAUUGUUGCGGUACCAUUUAUACAGUACAGCAUAGGAACAGGCCUUUUGGUUCACCAAGCCUGCACUGAUUCUGAAUUUUUAUUUAGACCUGCUACUUAUGACCCAUGCACGGUUUCUAUCCUUCUGUUCACCUCCCAUUCAUAUGUCUAUCAAGAUAUGCCUUAAAUGUUGGUAGUGUUUCUAACACCUCCACUGACGGUGCAUUCCAGGCACCCAACGUCCACCAAGUGAAAAGUUUUCCCUGCACUUCUCCCCUCACCUCCCCCAUCGCCUUGAACCUGUGUCCUCUUCUAGUUGACCUUUCAAGACCACCAGCAUUUUCCUCCAGGUCAUUUUAAAAAAAAAAGACAAGCAACAAAGGCCCCAGCACUGAUCCCUGUGGAACACCGCUAGUUACUGAUCUCCAUUCUGAAAUGCACCUUUCCACCGCUACUUUAUCGUCUUUGAUGAAGUUAAUUUUAUACCCAUCUAGCCAGCUCACCCCGCAUCCCAUGAGACUCUACCUUGUGUACUAGCCUGCCAUGAGGUACUUUAUUAAAUGCCUUAUGGAUAGGGUGAAUCAUUAAGGUCUUUUCCCCAGGAUAGGGGAGUCCAAAACUAGAGGGCCUAGGUUUAAGGUGAGAGGCGAAAUAUAUAAAAGGGACCUAAGGAGCAACUUUUUCAUGUAGAAGGUGGUGUGUAUAUGGAAUGAACUGCCAGAGGAAGUGGUGGAGGCUGAUACAAUGACAACAUUUCAAAGGCAUCUGGAUGGGUACAUGAAUAGGAAGGGUUUAGAGGGAUAUGGGCCAAAUGCUGGCAAAUAGGACUAGAUUGACUUAGGAUAUCUGGUCGGCAUGGACGAGUUGGAGUGAAGAGUCCUGUUUCCAUGCUGUAUAUCUGUGACUCUAUGUGGACAACAUCCACUGCCCUUCAUUCAUCAAUCGUUUUUGUCACCUCUUCAAAAAAGUUGAUGAGCCAUGACUUCUGCUCUCAAACCCAUGCUGCCUAUCACUAAAAAUCCAUUUGCUUCCAAAUGUGAAUACGUCCUGUUUCUCAGUAUCUUCUCUAACAGCUUCCUCACCGCUAGUAUGUGGGCUGUAAUUACCUGGUUUAUCUGUUUUCCUCCUUAAAGGAACAACAUUAGUAUUCUCCAGUCCUCUGGAACCUUGCCUAAGGCCAAAGAGGAUGCACAGACAUCUGUUAAGGCCCCAUCUAUUCCCUACCUUGCCUCCCACAGUAUCCUGGGAUUAAUCCCAUCUGACCCUGGUGACUUGUCUAUAGUAAUGUACUUUGAGACAUGUACCACUUUUGUCCUUUGUGUUGACCUGCCUGAGAUUACUCGCACCUUUUCCCUAACCUCAGCGUCCCUCACAUCCUGCUCUUGGAAGAUAUCAAUGUAAAGUACUCAUUAAGGAUCUCACCCAUUUCCCCUGGGUCUACACACAACCUCCCUCCUUUACCCUUGAGUGGGCCUAACUCUUUUUCUCCAUGCAACCUCUUGCUCCUAAUACAUGUAUAAAAUGCCUUGGGAUUCUACUUAUCCUUGCUGGCCGAAGACAUACCAUAGCCCCUUUUAGCCCUCCUAACUCACCGUUUGAGCUCCUUCCUAAUUUCUCUGUUUGAAAUAUCAAUGUCACUGUCUAAAUGAACAUUAUGAUUUCGUGCCAUUCCCUUUCCUUUACCCCAUAACUUGCACGUGAAGUAAUCUGCCAAUAGUAUCUCCAGGUGAGUCUUCAAGGGUCAUCAAACAAGCUACAAUAUAGGGUCUUUGGCAUUUGCAUAUUAUAAAGUUGGAAUCUUCAGAAGGAAUUUAGUGCAGACGGAUGUGAUUCGGAGAGGAUGUAGUACGAAGUGAUCUCCAUUAAUGGCCAACAUGCAUGCUGUGUAACCAAACUUUGAUUUAACAUUAGUGGAAUAUACUGUGCAGCUUACUUCUAUAUUACUGUAUGUAACAUUUCAUAUCUCUCUUAGCCUUACAAAGGAUGAGUCCAAAAGGCCAAAGUAUAAAGAGCUUCUGAAACAUCCUUUCAUCUUGAUGUAUGAAGAGCGCAGGGUGGACGUUGCAAGUUAUGUUUGCAGAAUCUUGGAUCAAAUGCCCCCAACCCCUGUUUCCCCAAUGUACGUCGAUUGAUUCUGCUGCUGAAAAGACAGCCUUAAACUGGCUGAAAGAUAUCAAGGUGUAAAGAUUUGUUUUAUGACACAUUGCAGUGUUUCUAUUUUUAACUUGCUCAAACAGACUGUGCAAUAAAAAUUGGUGUUCCAUUUUAUCCAUGUCUGCCCACGAUUGUCCAUUCGAAAAGCAUCCUUCUCAUAGUACCCAAGUCGUCAAGAGAGUUUGUGGAUGUUAUUGCCUUUUCGGGCUAGAUGUAUGGAGGCUGCCAGUGUGUUCAUUUCAGUCUGGAUCUUGGUGGGAUAUUAUGCAGCUGCUGGUGGGAAGAGUUUGAAGCUGGAGACAUUUCGAUACCGUACUGGAAAGACCAAGUCUUGGACUAGCUGUUCCCGCCAUUGCAUAGAAUAUUUUUAGUAGCACCCUCAAGACUCCUAAGUAUCUGCGUUGUCUUCAACAAAAGGGAAUUUGUACACGAACAGGAAACGUUACUCCAGUGCAGUCGCAAACACCUUGAGGAAUUUUGCUUCACAAAGUGCAAUAGAUUUGCUGAUUUUAAUUCUGUUGCUUUAUAGUUAGUGUCUAUCAUGGAGGAAAAGAAAAUCUGUAUUUUACUGUUAAUAAUGUUGAAGAGAUUUUUAAAUAAAGACAUAACUGAACACUAUGUCUUUCACCAAAAAAGUGUGUGGACUGAGAAUUGCAAAGAAAGCAAAAUUGAUACACGAAAGAUUUGCUGCAAAAAGGUAUUUCCCCUGAAACAGAACUUUUAUAUGACUUAAAUGUCAUUCACUGUACAAUAUAUUUGUAACUAUUGGGAAAAUUAGCCUAGGCACCUGAAGAAAGUGUUUUAAUAUUGUCUAUUGAAAUAUACAGAAAAGAAUAGUGAACUAUGGUGUAACUUUGGGCAGAAUGCUCGAAGAGUAAAGCAUGCUGGAAAAAAUAAGCUUGUGUUGAAGCAACGAAUGUUUUCCUGUUUGUUAAUCAGUCUGUAAAUGUGCACAUUGAUGUCUUAGGAUCUUAGACAAAAGCAGGCUAUAUAUGGAUUAUGCAGUAAGCACCUGGCAGUGAUGAUCUUAAAUGUUUCCCACCGACAGCUCAUAUUGUGGUUCAAUGUGCUAUUUUUUACCAGAAAUUAUUUAUGCAAAAAUUAAUGUAUACCUGUGACUGCUGUAAACCUUGAAGUCCUCCAGGUUUACCAGUGGUGUGAUAACACCAAUUGCCUACUAGUUUGGUUUAGUUAUUGGUUGUACUUGUCUACUGAGGAAAAUUGUUUAACGGUAAGAGGAGCAAAUCACCAAGUCAAGAUGUUAGGUGCAGUGUCUUCUGAUUUAAUGCAACGCCGCUGUGACUACCCAGCUCCAGAGGUGCUAAAUGUCUGGAAGAAUUCUGUUGCUUGAGAUAGCUACAGGAUGGUUUUAAUUUUACCUACAUGUGAUCCAGGACUUGUGCUACACAGAGAGAAUUCUUUGUGAGAUUCUAUUUUUCAUACAGUGUCUGUUGAGAGUAUGCUGGUUUUUCGGGGUGCGGGGAGGUGUGAUUGUUUCUUGCAAGUUUUUGUAACAGACAAGUAUAUCCAGUAAGUAUGUCCAUUGUAGACCCAGUAAGUCACUAAAGUUAUAAAAUUAUGCAGAAUUUUUGUUCCUCUUGUCUGCUUUCAUGACUGAACACACAAGCCCAUCUGCCCACCCCACCAAAAAUCCCUUAUGACCCACCACCAGCCUUGCUUGGCAAUUCAUUAAUGUGUUCAAUUCUACUGGUGAAGAAGUGAACUUGAUGUGAAUGUCAAGGGACUUCGAACUUUUUGAGUGGAAUGCCUGUAAAAAUUGGCAGUUUAUUCCUAUAUUAAUCUUAGAUUAUAAUCUAUUAAGGGUGAGGAAUAUAUUACAGUGUAUCUUUAAAAAAAGGUGUAUAAUGGUCACAAACUGUGAAAAUAGAAUAAGAACUGUACAUUGUGAACUUUGGUUAAUUUUUCUUUCCUGUACCAUAGAAAAUGUAUAAAAAAUAUCAAAGCUGAUGUGCAGGGAUAAUGCCUUACUUGUCUGUGAAAAUGGAGCUCGCUGAGUAUCAUCACCAUUGCAUUAUUUUACAGAGCUCAUGGAUAUUUCUUAUCCUGUAUACUGGUUUGACUUCUUCCUAUAUUUAAAACAUUAUAAAUGGAAUCUUAAGUGUUCAUGUAAUAGUUCUAUACUCUUGCCUGCAGGUCAGUUGUAAUAAAACUAGAACGUGACUGUGACCUUGUUCUUGUUUUGUAAGAUCUGAAACACACAAUUGCAAAAAUAAACUCAAUUGAAAUACUGGAAAAA